UGCAAGUCGAGCGGACAGAAGGGAGCUUGCUCCCGGAUGUUAGCGGCGGACGGGUGAGUAACACGUGGGUAACCUGCCUGUAAGACUGGGAUAACUCCGGGAAACCGGAGCUAAUACCGGAUAGUUCCUUGAACCGCAUGGUUCAAGGAUGAAAGACGGUUUCGGCUGUCACUUGCAGAUGGACCCGCGGCGCAUUAGCUAGUUGGUGGGGUAAUGGCUCACCAAGGCGACGAUGCGUAGCCGACCUGAGAGGGUGAUCGGCCACACUGGGACUGAGACACGGCCCAGACUCCUACGGGAGGCAGCAGUAGGGAAUCUUCCGCAAUGGACGAAAGUCUGACGGAGCAACGCCGCGUGAGUGAUGAAGGUUUUCGGAUCGUAAAGCUCUGUUGUUAGGGAAGAACAAGUGCGAGAGUAACUGCUCGCACCUUGACGGUACCUAACCAGAAAGCCACGGCUAACUACGUGCCAGCAGCCGCGGUAAUACGUAGGUGGCAAGCGUUGUCCGGAAUUAUUGGGCGUAAAGGGCUCGCAGGCGGUUUCUUAAGUCUGAUGUGAAAGCCCCCGGCUCAACCGGGGAGGGUCAUUGGAAACUGGGAAACUUGAGUGCAGAAGAGGAGAGUGGAAUUCCACGUGUAGCGGUGAAAUGCGUAGAGAUGUGGAGGAACACCAGUGGCGAAGGCGACUCUCUGGUCUGUAACUGACGCUGAGGAGCGAAAGCGUGGGGAGCGAACAGGAUUAGAUACCCUGGUAGUCCACGCCGUAAACGAUGAGUGCUAAGUGUUAGGGGGUUUCCGCCCCUUAGUGCUGCAGCUAACGCAUUAAGCACUCCGCCUGGGGAGUACGGUCGCAAGACUGAAACUCAAAGGAAUUGACGGGGGCCCGCACAAGCGGUGGAACAUGUGGUUUAAUUCGAAGCAACGCGAAGAACCUUACCAGGUCUUGACAUCCUCUGACAACCCUAGAGAUAGGGCUUUCCCUUCGGGGACAGAAUGACAGGUGGUGCAUGGUUG
rnacentral:rRNA from 1 species